rnacentral:lncRNA from 1 species
CCAAGAAAAGGUGUGUGGCAUCAGGAGUGAGGACAAACUCCGAGAGUCCUCUGCAGUGCUUAUCGCAGACAGAGAGGAAACCAUCCACCCACUGGCAGUCAGGGAAGAGGAAGAGAAGAGAGGGAAGUCUCUGGAUUGCUUUUGACCAGAGAAGUGAGGUCGUAUUGAAAAGAGUUUACAAAAACAAAUUCCUUAUAAGCAUUUUCCAUUUAUGUCUCAGAAUCCACUCUUCACCAUUCUGCAUCCUGCUCUCUGCUCUGGAGACUCCCUGGGAACUGUAUCCAUGGUCUCCUGCCUUCCAGACUGGGGUUGGAUUUGUCCAUUGUGAGAUGAAAAAAGUGAACUCAGAAUGGUUGGCCGAAUGCGGUGGCUCAUGCCUGUAAUCCUAGCACUUCGGGAGGCUGAGGUGGGCAGAUUGUGUGAGGUCAGGAUUUCAAGAUCAGCUUGAUCAACAUGGCGAAACCCCGUCUCUACUAAAAAUACAAAAAUUAGCCAGAUUUGUCCAAGGUAAGGAGGUCUGGACUGUGGAGAAGAUGGAGUUUGGAAGGAUAUGCAGCUUAUAAAUGCAGUUAGACACAGAGGAUUUCCAUUGCAUCUCCAGUUUGUUGGUGGCUGGUUCCUCCUUUGCUGGUCUCUUUUAUUCCAUCUGGAAGAUUCUGUUCAUGUACACCUCUGAACUCUAAACUAGUUGUUCCUGACUUUGUCUCUGCAACAUUUUUUCAGGCCUGUUGUAUUCCUGACCUUGCUUCCUCUGUGCAAUAUAUUUACUCCAGGUCAUCUCUACCAUGCCUGUCACCAUUUUGCUUAAUGGUUGGGGUUUGAUGUUUUUGACCUUGGGUUGAACCCAGGAAUGAAUAACUUCUCUAUACUGGCUCAGUGGCUGAAUUAUCAGUGUCUUUCCCUGACAAUGUGCAUGUUUUCAAUGAUUAGAAAUGCAGCCUCCAAAUAAGGAAAAAGGAUAAUAUUUGCAUAGGCCGUGCUUAGUUGCAGGUUUUGGAGCCGGAGAUGUUCCAGCAUAGAUGCCUGUUCAUAGAAGUGCUCCAAAAUUGUAUUUAGUGUAAUGACACGUCCUCUUUAAAACCCUUUAUAACUUUCUUCUUCCCUGGCCUCGUAAGAGGAUAGAGAAAUGUUUCUCGGCCAUUACAUGCGACUCUUUACAGGUUAUCAUAUUCAUUAUGUCAUUAGAUUUACCACAACCCUGAAAACUUAAUAGAGAAAUUAUUAUCUCUAAAAGUUAUACCACUAGCAGGUGGCAGGUCUGGAACAAACAUCCAUGCCCUAUUGACUACAAUACCAGUACUCUUAGUACCAUGCUAUGCCUCUCUCUCAUAUUAUUAUAAGAAUAAUAAACCUAUAGUUGCAGAGUUGUAGAGCUGUAUGAAGCCUUAAAUAUCAUCUAACUUAGCCACAUUAUUGUUACAAAAGAGCAAAUGUGACUGAAGAAGUGGCUUACACAGAAUUAUUGGCAGAAAACAUCAUAUCUUCUGACUUCAAAUCACACACACACACACACACACACACACACAGGAGAUGACAAAAGGAAAAGAGAUUGAGUCAGAAACUAAUAAAGCUUAGGAAACACUAAUGCAGCCAGGUGCAGUGGUUCAUGCUUGUAAUCCCAGGACUUUUGGGAGGCUGAUGCAGGAGGAUUGCUCGAGGCUAGGAGUUCAAGGAAACAGAAAUGAGAAAAUUUUCAAUAUAGUCAUGGUUUCAUGGUAGAAAAGGUUAGUAAAGACUAGAUUCUGUAUAAAAAAAAACUUCAAAAUCAUUAGUUUAAUUUUUCUUAACUACAGAGACUAUGAAAAAAGGCUAAGUUUUUAAUAAUUUUUUUCAAAGCUAAUGCCUUAUUGGCUCUUUUAAAAAUUAUUUAUUGAGUAUCUUCUGAUCUAUAAGACGUAGUUGAUGAUAUAACUGUGACCAGCAUAUAGUGUCCACUCUCAAGGGAUUCUUUGUGUCAUAGAGGAUUGUGGCAGUUUUAAGCCAUGGCUACAAUUAUUUGACACUCCACCCAUCAAAAGAUGGGCUCUAUGUCCCCUCCCAUGCACCUGAGUGGGCCUACAAUUACUUUCCUUCUGAGGCUGAGUAAUAUAAGGUCAUGCACUUGGGAACUUGAGCUGGUAAGAAGCCCAACUACCAUGAUGUCACCAUCCUGGAGGGGCAAGACACAUACUCCAUAUGUAGGCAAUGGCACUCUUACUGACACUCCCACCCAUGCCCAAUAUUCCCACUAGUGCUGCCAAGGCACCGAACAUGUGAGUAAAGUUUGACUUUCCAUGUCCAUCUGCUGGGUGAAUGCCACCAAGUAACUCUGUCACUUGUCAGUGACCUGGAAUAGAAGAAUCACUCAGCAAUGUUCCGUCCAAAUUUUUGACCCACAGAAAUUACGAGACUUAAUAAGAUGGCUGUCAUUUAAGUUACUAAGUUUUGGGAUUGUAUAUUAUAUAGCAAUAAACAACCAUAACAAUGAGAUAAUAAAUAUAUUUUAAGGAAUUCAGAAAUAAUAGAAGUAAUAGAAGGCAUGAUCCCUGAUCUCUAUGAAUUUACAAUUCACUUGGGGGAAAGGGGUAAGAAUCACUAAUGAAGCAAUUAGAGAGAUCAAUAAGAGCCAGAAAAAUCAAGGAAGUAUAGGAACAAGUCAAAAUUGAAAUGGAUCUUGGAGAGGCAACUUGCCCUAGUGAUGGAGCAAUUCAGAAGAAGACAAUGAUAUUUAGUAAACUUUAAAACUGAUAUUAUUAACAGUAACAAUGAUAGCAACCACUUAUUUAGUGCUUAUUAUGAGCAAAUAACUCUCUAAAGUUCUUUAUAUAUUAUUUCAGUUGCCUUUUAAUGAACUUUCAAAAUACGAAUUGUCAUGCCUUUUAUACCUAGGAGGAAAUAGAGCAGCUUCCCAGGUAACAUAGGUAGUGUGGCAAGACCACGACUCAAACGGACUAUGUGUGACUCAUGAUUUUAACAGGGGUUCUACACUACUCCUGUGAAAUCACUUUUCACCAAAGUAAGAAAUAUAACUGUAUUAUAUCCAUAGCUUACAUAGAACUUGAUUCAUAUUAACAAAAUUCAGAAUAAAUCCUUUAAUUUUUAGAUAGUAAGUAAAUAAAAGGGCACAUAUUUUUACCUUGUC